CUUUUUUGGGGGUGGGCCUUUCAGGACAACAACCACAUCCUGGGUUGACCACCUCAGUUAGCAAGAACAGCAAGCCAGAAGCAGAACGACUGAAGCCAAAAAGCAAGGUGCUGCUGCCUGUGUGCUGCGUUCCAAGGCCUGAAAGGUCCUUCUAUCACAGUGUCAGCGGUGUGAAAGUCUGGGAAGCCAGCUAAGACCUGGGCGCCCAUCGUACCACAACACCUAGCAAAGAUGAUUUGCCGUGGUGAAAGGACCUACAACGACAAGGGUCCUGGU
rnacentral:lncRNA from 1 species